rnacentral:rRNA from 1 species
GGAGUUAGCCGGUGCUUCUUCUGUGAGUGAUGUCCUUCCUGCCGGCUAUUAACCCGCAGGCCUUCUUCCUCACUGAAAGUGCUUUACAACCCGAAGGCCUUCUUCACACACGCGGCAUGGCUGGAUCAGGGUUGCCCCCAUUGUCCAAUAUUCCCCACUGCUGCCUCCCGUAGGAGUCUGGGCCGUGUCUCAGUCCCAGUGUGGCUGAUCAUCCUCUCAGACCAGCUACGGAUCGUCGCCUUGGUGAGCCGUUACCUCACCAACCAGCUAAUCCGACAUAGGCUCAUCCGAUAGCGCGAGGCCCGAAGGUCCCCCGNUUUCCCCCGUAGGGCCGUAUGCGGUAUUAGCCUGGGUUUCCCCAGGUUAUCCCCCGACUACCGGGCAGAUUCCUAUGCAUUACUCACCCGUCCGCCGCUCGCCACCAGGGAGCAAGCUCCCCGUGCUGCCGCUCGACUUGCAUCGUGUUAGGCCUGCCGCCAGCGUUCAAUCUGAGCCAGAAUCAAACUCUGA